UCCAGACUCCUACGGGAGGCAGCAGUGGGGAAUAUUGCACAAUGGGGGAAACCCUGAUGGAGCAACGCCGCGUGAGUGAAGAAGGGUUUCGGCUCGUAAAGCUCUUUUGGUAGUGAAGAAAGAUAGAGGUAGUAACUGGCCUUUAUUUGACGGUAAUUACUUAGAAAGUCACGGCUAACUACGUGCCAGCAGCCGCGGUAAUACGUAGGUGGCAAGCGUUGUCCGGAUUUAUUGGGCGUAAAGCGAGUGCAGGCGGUUCAAUAAGUCUGAUGUGAAAGCCUGCGGCUCAACCGGAGAAUUGCAUCAGAAACUGUUGAACUUGAGUGCAGAAGAGGAGAGUGGAACUCCAUGUGUAGCGGUGGAAUGCGUAGAUAUAUGGAAGAACACCAGUGGCGAAGGCGGCUCUCUGGUCUGCAACUGACGCUGAGGCACGAAAGCGUGGGUGUCGAACAGGAUUAGAUACCCGCGUAC
rnacentral:rRNA from 1 species